CACAACCCACUUGUGGAUCACUAUACUGUAGGGGCUGUCUCACUGCACGCAACAUGCUCUUCACACAUUUCUUUUGUUUCCUGACUAUUUCCAUUUUGAUCCUUGGUGUUGUCACGACGUCACCUGUCCAAAAUGAUACGAAGUUGGACUCAUCAGAAGAAUCCGAUGCUACUGUGAACUGUUUUAUAUGCAUUGGGCGGGUCUGCCCCAAAGGCCAAAAAUGGGUAGUCAGGAAAUGUGUUUAAAUGGCUAAAUAUUCACGUUAGAAGGUUGCGUACGUGGACACUGGACAGAUCGCUCAAAUUCUACUUUACAAAUUUUGUGUCGUCACACAAUAAUUUUCUUUUGAUGUGUAGAAAAACUGGAAAUUGAAUUCAAAUAAAUUAAGGUAUGAGAAAUCGUUAAACCUAAUUAUAUUUUUCAUUAAACGCCUAUGUAACAAAAUUAUUAUAUUGGAAUUUAGGUAAUUACGUGAGGUGAUAUGGUUUUUUUUAGUCAAAUAAAUUUAAAUGACAUUUAAAAAUUAAAGCAAGUUUAAUUUGCUUUUUCCACCAAAAAAAUUAAUGAAUAAAAUGUACUAAAACAUGAUACACGAUAUAAUAGCUCUAUAUUAUAUAGUCCCAUAUAAAAACAUUAAUAAAUGUGAUAGAUAUAGGAGAAAUCUGCACGUAUUAGUGCAGACACAUAAAACUCUGCAUAAAAAUUGUCCAACUUAUUUGUGCCCUUUAGUAACCACAAAUGUAUGAUGUUAACCCGUUUGACAGGACACGAGCGCACCGAAUGAAACUGUCAGUCCCGUUUGUAAGUGUUGAAGUGCCCGAAAACUUUUCAAGUUCAAAACUACCGCCUGUGGAACGACCUCCCACCGAAUUUGUGCCUGAACGAAAACCUAAGUAACCUUCAAAGAAUUCCUAAAAGAUAAGUUCCUCAAGAAAUAUUGAACCACCUCUCUUUUAAAAAUUGUGUUUAAACUGAAAUUAUUUUGUCCGAUGUAUGGGGCAAAAUAGCCUUGCAGAACCAUAAUAAAGAUUAAUUUGAAACUAAAUCCUCCAAAAAAAAGCUCCAUUCAGCUAUAUUACAAUAUGGUCGUGGUUCAAAUCGCAGUUGGUUUUUAUCGCUAGCCUACCACGUGACGUGCUUAAAGGGCAAUUUAGAGUCCUCUGCUCAUUCUACGCUCAUUCUACAAUGUAUUUCUCAUUCACAACUCACUUGGCUGUCUCGCUGCACACAACAUGCUCUUUAAACAUUUCUUUUGUUUCCUGACCAUUUCCAUGUUGAUCCUUGGUGUUGUCACGACGUCACCUGUCCAAGAUGAUACGAAUUUAGACUCAUCAGAAGAAUCCGAUGCUACUGUGAACUGUUUAACAUGCUCUAGGGUCUGCCCUAAAGGCAAAAGAUGGACAGGAAGGAGAUGCGUCACCGCUACAGUCUAAAUAUUCAUGUUGGAAGGUUGUGUGGACAGAUUGCUCAAAUUCUACUUUGCAAAUUUUGUAUCGCACGCAAUAAUUUUAUUUUGAUGUGCAAUGCUGGAUUGUGUAGAAAAACUUGACAUUGAAUUUAAAUAAAUUAAAGUACGAUAAUAUAACGUUAAACCGAA